UGAUUAUGGUGAGGGCAAUUUCGAAGCAUAGCCUUGAAUCUUUCUUAAGCUUGGUAAAGAUUCUCUAUCUUUUUGCCUAAAAAUUAUAAUCUCACUUCUUAAAUA